AUUGAACGCUGGCGGCAGGCUUAACACAUGCAAGUCGAGCGAGCGGCGGACGGGUGAGUAAUGUCUGGGAAACUGCCUGAUGGAGGGGGAUAACUACUGGAAACGGUAGCUAAUACCGCAUACCAUCAGAUGUGCCCAGAUGGGAUUAGCUAGUAGGUGUGGUAAUGGCUCACCUAGGCGACGAUCCCUCGCUGGUCGGAGAGGAUGACCAGCCACACGGGAACUGCGACACGGUCCAGACUCCUACGGGAGGCCGCAGGGGGGAAGAUUGCACCAUUGGGGCACGCCUGAUGCAGCCAUUCCGCGUGGGGGAAGAAGGCCUUCGGGUUGUAAAGCACUUUCAGCGAGGAGGCGUUACUCGCAGAAGAAGCACCGGCUAACUCCGUGCCAGCCGCCGCGGUAAUAC
rnacentral:rRNA from 1 species